AAGAGGAGCCUGGAGACAGGUGCUGCAUGGCUGUCGUCAGCUCGUGUCGUGAGAUGUUGGGUUAAGUCCCGCAACGAGCGCAACCCUUAUCAUUAGUUGCUACGCAAGGGCACUCUAAUGAGACUGCCGGUGACAAACCGGAGGAAGGUGGGGAUGACGUCAAGUCCUCAUGGCCCUUAUGGGUAGGGCUUCACACGUCAUACAAUGGUCGGUACAGAGGGUUGCCAAGCCGCGAGGUGGAGCCAAUCCCAGAAAGCCGAUCGUAGUCCGGAUUGUUCUCUGCAACUCGAGAGCAUGAAGUCGGAAUCGCUAGUAAUCGCGGAUCAGCAUGUCGCGGUGAAUACGUUCCCGGGUCCUU
rnacentral:rRNA from 1 species